rnacentral:rRNA from 1 species
UUGGCGGACGGGUGAGUAACGCGUGGGGAACCUGCCUUGCACCGGGGGAUAACACUUAGAAAUAGGUGCUAAUACCGCAUAAGCGCACAGAGCCGCAUGGCUCAGUGUGAAAAACUCCGGUGGUGCAAGAUGGACCCGCGUCUGAUUAGCUGGUUGGCGGGGUAACGGCCCACCAAGGCGACGAUCAGUAGCCGGCCUGAGAGGGUGAACGGCCACAUUGGGACUGAGACACGGCCCAAACUCCUACGGGAGGCAGCAG